rnacentral:rRNA from 1 species
AUUGAACGCUGGCGGCAGGCCUAACACAUGCAAGUCGAACGAGUGGCGGACGGGUGAGUAAUGUCUGUGAAACUGCCUGAUGGAGGGGGAUAACUACUGGAAACGGUAGCUAAUACCGCAAACCAUCAGAUGUGCCCAUAUGGGAUUAGCUAGUUGGUGGGGUAACGGCUCACCAAGGCGACGAUCCCUAGCUGGUCUGAGAGGAUGACCAGCCACACUGGAACGUAGACACGGUACAGACGCCUACGGGAGGAAGCAGUGGGGACUAUUGCACAAUGGGCGAAAGCCUGAUGCAGCCAUGCCGCGUGUAUGAAGAAGGCCUUCGGGUUGUAAAGUACUUUCAGCGGGGAGGCGUUACCCGCAGAAGAAGCACCGGCUAACUCCGUGCCAGCAGCCGCGGUAAUAC